GAUUGAACUUUAGGGGAGAAUCACCAGUUGAUGCGGAAGAAGCAUGGUUUUGCCCAGAAAAAAAAGAAGUUCACGCAUUGGCAAACAAACUGAGUAGGGAAGGUCUUUGUUGAAUCUGAAUUGGCCAAGCAGGGGACGAAAACAAGCAUUGGAAAACUGGAGUUUCAAGAAGUACUGGUACAAACCCUUUAUAGGUUAGGUAGGCUUUCAUUUCAUGCCGUUUUGAUAUAUGUCUUAGUUGACAUAAAAGAAGUAAGAAAGCAGCCAAUCCGGGAGUGCCAGCCAGUUAGAUCUGAUUGGGGAGGCAAAAGAAAGAAGGAACUCCGAUAAAGUAAAAUUUACGGGUUCGGUUUACCUGGGGUGAGGGUAGCAUGUAAACAAAGAGGAAUUGCUAUCGAAACUACAGAUCUUCGAACAUGGGCAACCCAGCUUAAAGUAAGCGAGGGUAUCCAUUAUAAUAGAGUAAGACAUCACGAUUAGCCUUGUCUCAGCUUUGACUCUUGAUGGUUUCAUGCUCACGACAAUAGGAGAGGUGACAUAAGACCCAUUGAAAGACAUUUAUGUCGCCUAGACAGAAUAAAGAAAGGGGGGGUAGGAGAGCGAAGGAAAGAUUCCCGGGAUUCAUAGAGUUAAGCCCAGGGCAAGAAUAAACCAAAGAGGUAGAGUCCCGAUAGACUGGGAAGGUCUUUGUUCCACUCCUCUUUCUCGAUGCUUUUAAGAGCUAUAGUUCUCGUUAGUUCAUACUACCUGCUCUCGCUU
rnacentral:misc_RNA from 1 species